rnacentral:rRNA from 1 species
AGCAGCCGCGGUAAUUCCAGCUCCAAUAGCGUAUAUUAAAGUUGUUGCAGUUAAAAAGCUCGUAGUUGAAUUUCGGGAUCGACGGGUCGGUCGCGCCUCUGGUGUGUACUGGCCCUGUCGGUUUCUCCCUUCUGACGAACCACGGUGUCAUUAAUUUGGUGUCGUGGGAAAUCAGGACUGUUACUUUGAAAAAAUUGAGUGUUUAAAGCAGGCAUUCGCUUGAAUACAUUAGCAUGGAAUAAUGAAAUAGGACGUUUGAUCUUAUUUUGUUGGUUUCUAAGAUCGACGUAAUGAUUAAUAGGGAUAGUUGGGGGCAGUUAGUAUUCGAAUUGUCAGAGGUGAAAUUC